AACAAUACUAAGAAAGUUUUAAUCAAUUCAAAGAAAUCUUAAAUGAAUUAUAAAGAAAGAAUAAGAAAUAUUAAAAAAAUAUUAGAAUGAUCACAAAUAUAUCUUAAAUAAAUCUCAAUCCAAUCUUAAUUCAAUUCUAGUUAAAAUCCUAUUGGACUUCAAUCAAACUUUAGGCCAAAAACUAAAUAAAUCUUAAAUCCUAAACAAAUCCUUAACAAAUCCUAAACAAAUACUAAUUCCUAGAUCAACUCCUAACCAAAUCUUAAUCUUAAAUCAAAUCUUAACUAAAUCCUAAAUCCUAAAUCAAAACUUAAUCAAAUCCUAAACUCUAAAUCAAAUCCUAAUCAAAUCCUAACCCUAAAUCAAAUCUUAAUCCUAAAUCAAAUCCUAACCAAAUCCUAACUAAAUUCUAAAUUCUAAAUCAAAUCCUAAAUAAAUUCUAAAUCCUAAAUCAAAUCCUAACCAAAUCCUAAAUCAUAAACUAAACCCUAACUAAUCCUAAAUAAUUCCUAAAACAGAUUUAAAACCCAAUAACUAAUGAAUGAACUAUUGAUUUUAACUCAAAAUUUUCAUACUUCUUAAUAAUUAAGUUGAAAAUAAGUACAAAAAUAAUUGAAAAU
rnacentral:lncRNA from 1 species